CAGUAGUGCUUUCUACCGCACUGUUUUUUUAAAUAUAUAACGUUAGCUAUCAAAAACGACAAAAGUUUUGCUAAUUUUCUUAACAACAUUGAUGCCCUGAAUUCCAAUUGAUCUAUCAAAAGAUCAGUUGGAAAAAGUGACAUGCUACUUUCUGCACACGCCACAGUCAGUGUGAACUGGAGUGACUUGACACAACACUGGCCAAACAAGGUAGCUACAAACAAAACAAAAAGUUAAAUGGUUCCUGUCUGCCGUGAAGCGUUCAUCCAUGUAUACGGGUGAUACAGAAACUGAUUCCACCAACAUGCCCUUCCAACCCCUAGCUCUGCACAAGGUGAAGGUGGUCCACAUGGUUGCUGUAUGGACAGUAGAGAGGACAUGGAUUUGUCGUUUGUCAUGCCCCUUUGCUGCCAGCUGUUGACCGUUCUCCUUGAACUCCGCCUCCCCUCUCUGCAUCUUCCUACAUCCGAAUGCUGGCAUCCCCUUCCUGUUUGACCUGACUGUGCCACAGGCCCCUGUGCUGUUAGAGAGCAGAUGCUGGAAGAGUGUGGGACUGCUGUAACAAUUGUCCAAACACAAAGUGUGUCCCUUGCUGACAUGAGUAGCCUGCAUGGUCAUCACCACUCACCCGGACACCCCAAGCCCCUCAUACUCAUCAAUGCAUAGGUCCUUGUAUGGCACAAAGACUCAACCAAAUGCUAUUGUCAGUCAGGCUGCUCCAAGGCAUAGCGAUUGGUCUCUACUAUGUCUCCCACCAGCUCCUCUGUCAGAAACAACUUGAAGCACUCUGCCUCAGAUGAAAAUGGCAAGGGGCGUUGCACUCCAGACUGGGACUCAUCAAAGCAAACAGCAGGGCCAGGACGGGUGAAACGGCUGGCAGCCUUCCAGCUACCACAGAACUCCUGUACUUCAUCCACUGUUGGCCUGCACUCCAUCACCACCAGCAUCUUCAAAGGGAACUGGGACUAUGUCAGUGGACAAGGGGUCCUCAGAUUCAGGAUUGGGGUAGCUCCUCACUGUUACUGUCAGAAUCUGAUUCCUGACUUUCAUACUCAGACUCAUUGUCAGAAUUAAAAAAAAUAUCCA
rnacentral:lncRNA from 1 species